UACGUAGGGUGCGAGCGUUGUCCGGAAUUACUGGGCGUAAAGAGCGUGUAGGCGGUCUGAAUAGUCUGCUGUGAAAGCGCCUGGCUUAACCGGGCGAGGUCGGCGGAAACUCUCAGACUGGAGGCCGGUAGAGGGGGGUGGAAUUCCCGGUGUAGUGGUGAAAUGCGUAGAGAUCGGGAGGAACACCUGUGGCGAAGGCGACUUACUGGACACAUAUUGACGCUGAGGUGCGAAAGCGUGGGGAGCAAACAGG
rnacentral:rRNA from 1 species